rnacentral:lncRNA from 1 species
CACAGUGGAGCAACCUAAAAAGGAAAAAGAGAUAUGUAUUGGAUCUGUAGGUUAAAAUGUCAACACUACUAUGCCAGUUGGUGAAAUAUUGAAACAGCCUGUACUUGUUGGCAAAGGGUUGUUGCCCUGGCCCCUGCUGUAUCAGCGCUGUUUCUGGCCUGGUCCCCUUCCCAAGAGCCACCUUCCAUGGCAAAGUUUCAUAGACUAAGUUGUUUUGGGUACAUCAUGAUUGUGUAGCAUUCAUUCUUCUUUAAAGGUGAUUUUUAAAACAGCUCAAGAAUUAAUCUACAUGAAACACUCUAUUUUAGCCAAAAUGAUACACAGUAUGGAUAUGAAGAAAUGCUGAACACUUACAGUAACUCUGUGACCAAUAUGGAGGAAAGAUCAAGUGUUAUCUAGAGAGGUCCUCUAACAGCCAUGCUAUCUCAGAGGUAGCACACAAAAUACUCUGAAUGCCUGGGGAUCUGCUUAUUCUAGAAGAACUCAUAACCUCACAUUUUUUGACUACCUUCUACGUGCAUGGCUGAAAAGUCUAAACCCAUUCUACUACUUUUUAGCAGACUAAAUAAAUAAUAAAUGCUACCCAUCCAACUCCCCUGGGAGUGGAAACAAACUCAGUGAAUGAGCUCUAUUACAGUGAGAUAGAAGUCAGGGGAGGGUUGCUAGGGGAAGGAAUGCAAUCUAAAUUUAUGGAUAAAGAACAAUUCUUAAAUCUUUCACCUCUUUUUUGAACAAUAGGAACUCUAGACACUGGGUAAUUCAUAGUGGAAAUAAAAGUGUGGACAAAAAUAGUUCUGAAGAAUUACUCUGAACACAGUAAGAAUCUAUGCAUUUGACCCAGGAGAGUUAAAAUGUUAACAUGGAUUCAGCGGUCUCCCCUCCCAUUGUUGCAGCCCUCCAGUAGUCCU